rnacentral:rRNA from 1 species
GACGAACGCUGGCGGCGUGCUUUAUACAUGCAAGUCGAACGAUGAAGUUCCUUCGGGAAUGGAUUAGUGGCGAACGGGUGAGGAACACGUGAGAAACCUGCCUUUCAUUCUGGGAUAACACCGGGAAACCGGUGCUAAUACCGGAUACUCCGGCUUGGCGGCAUCGCCGAGCCGGGAAAAAAUUUUGAUGAAAGAGGGUCGCGCGGCCUAUCAGCUAGUUGGUGGGGUAAUGGCUCACCAAGGGGACGACGGGUAGCCGGCCUGAGAGGGCGACCGGCCACACUGGGACUGAGACACGGCCCAGACUCCUACGGGAGGCAGCAGUAGGGAAUAUUGGGCAAUGGGCGCAAGCCUGACCCAGCGACGCCGCGUGAGGGAUGAAGGUCUUCGGAUUGUAAACCUCUUUCAGUAGGGAAGAAGCGAAGGUGACGGUACCUAAAGAAGAAGCACCGGCUAACUAUGUGCCAGCCGCCGCCGUAA